UACAGAGGUCUCAAGCGUUGUUCGGAUUCAUUGGGCGUAAAGGGUGCGUAGGCGGCGCGGUAAGUCGGAUGUGAAAGCCCCGGGCUCAACCCGGGAAGUGCACUCGAUACUGCCUAGCUAGAGUGUCGGAGAGGUUGGUGGAAUUCUCGGUGUAGAGGUGAAAUUCGUAGAUAUCGAGAGGAACACCGGUGGCGAAGGCGGCCAACUGGACGAACACUGACGCUGAGACACGAAAGCGUGGGGAGCAAACAGG
rnacentral:rRNA from 1 species